GGAUGUAUUAGCUCAGUGGUUAGAGCACAGGCCUCUGGCUCUCGGGUCCGCGAGUUCGAGUCCCGUCGUCUA
rnacentral:tRNA from 1 species